GAUGUUCCACAUUUAAAAAAAAAAAGUGUUGACAGGAGGUAGUUGCUAUCUUUGGUUAUCUAGCUGUAUGAGUGUUUAUCUGCCUUCAUAAAGCUAGAUAACCGAAAGUAGAAACGUCCUCCUUAACUGCAUAGUGGACAAGUUGGGAAGCAAUGAUGGCAGGGAACUGCGUGAGGCUCUCAAACUGCAGUGUUUUUGUGAUAGACCAGAGGACUGGAGCUAAGGGGGAAAACGCCAUCUGCAACUGCCAGCCAUUUACACUGCCUUUUUGGAGCAAGAGGGAGAGAGGAAAAAAAUGGUGCAAUUGUCCAAAUGAAAGAAAAGAAAAAUAAUAGUCAACCCUCAUCCUUCUUCUACCAGCUCCCCUCCCUUCUUCAUCAACGGAAGCAUUUAGUGCCAUCUGUGCCCCCGGAGAAAAGAGGAAAAAAAGAAAGGAGUGAGACUCUACAUCCCAAGUGCCAAUGGGGACAAAGAGGCUGCUAGUUGCCACGGACCACCAGAUGCUGGAAGACUGCAAGUCUGAAUGAGGGGUGUGCUUUCAGGAAGCCAUCUUGAUGGAGAAGCUGGCUGCUGCUCCCUAAAAUGGCUGUGUUGGCAUGAGUCUCCUGGCAAUAAAACUCUGAAAAAUUCCCAUCGUUGUCAUCAGCUGCUGGAGAAACCAAGGCCAUCCUGCUAUGUUUGAGUCAAAUGGUCAAUCACAUCACCUCAGGAAUCCAGCGUCCAGCAUCUCUUCCAGAUGGUUCGCUGUGAAAAUUUAACAAGCAGAUGAGAGACGAAUUAGAAUGUGCACUAAUUGAUUUAACUGGGUGUCUUAAAACCUUGCAGACAAUCAGUAAGACUGGAUGGGUGUGUGGAUUUGGGCUGUUCACCCAGUUAAAUCUUAGAUGUUAGAAAAUGUGUUGUACAAUCUUAUCAGUGCUGUAUAAACUGAAGAGAAUAAUGUGUCUUAAUGUGUGAAAAGUUUACAGUGAAAGUUGUUGUUAUUGAAACAUUUCAGUGCAUGGAAAUUUGCGAUCCCUAUUUUAAAUACUAGUAUUUUUAAUGUUAGUCAUCCAUGUUUCAUGUUAUUAUAUUAUAAAAUGUGCCUGUUUCAGUUGAUGUACAGGAAAUUGGUUAAUCCAGAUAUUUUAUAUGGCUACUGUAUGUAUGGUUUAAGAAUUAUGCUCAGUUUCUCUCUGCAUUAUCAUUUGUCUGAUUAUGUGAUAUGUGAAACAAACUUAUUAAACUGCACAAAUAAACAACAUUAAAGCACUGAGUGAAUGAUUGUUGACACUGGAAAAAGCCAUUUUAAGUUAUACC